UUACGUUGAAAAGUGAGCGGAUGAACUGAGGGUAGCGGAGAAAUUCCAAUCGAACCUGGAGAUAGCUGGUUCUCUCCGAAAUAGCUUUAGGGCUAGCCUCAAGUGAUGAUUAUUGGAGGUAGAGCACUGUUUGGACGAGGGGCCCCUCUCGGGUUACCGAAUUCAGACAAACUCCGAAUGCCAAUUAAUUUAACUUGGGAGUCAGAACAUGGGUGAUAAGGUCCGUGUUCGAAAGGGAAACAGCCCAGACCACCAGCUAAGGUCCCAAAAUAUAUGUUAAGUGGAAAAGGAUGUGGCGUUGCCCAGACAACUAGGAUGUUGGCUUAGAAGCAGCCAUCAUUUAAAGAGUGCGUAAUAGCUCACUAGUCGAGUGACACUGCGCCGAAAAUGUACCGGGGCUAAACAUAUUACCGAAGCUGUGGAUUGUCCUUUGGACAAUGGUAGGAGAGCGUUCUAAGGGCGUUGAAGCAUGAUCGUAAGGACAUGUGGAGCGCUUAGAAGUGAGAAUGCCGGUGUGAGUAGCGAAAGACGGGUGAGAAUCCCGUCCACCGAUUGACUAAGGUUUCCAGAGGAAGGCUCGUCCGCUCUGGGUUAGUCGGGUCCUAAGCUGAGGCCGACAGGCGUAGGCGAUGGAUAACAGGUUGAUAUUCCUGUACCACCUAUAAUCGUUUUAAUCGAUGGGGGGACGCAGUAGGAUAGGCGAAGCGUGCGAUUGGAUUGCACGUCUAAGCAGUAAGGCUGAGUAUUAGGCAAAUCCGGUACUCGUUAAGGCUGAGCUGUGAUGGGGAGAAGACAUUGUGUCUUCGAGUCGUUGAUUUCACACUGCCGAGAAAAGCCUCUAGAUAGAAAAUAGGUGCCCGUACCGCAAACCGACACAGGUAGUCAAGAUGAGAAUUCUAAGGUGAGCGAGCGAACUCUCGUUAAGGAACUCGGCAAAAUGACCCCGUAACUUCGGGAGAAGGGGUGCUCUUUAGGGUUAACGCCCAGAAGAGCCGCAGUGAAUAGGCCCAAGCGACUGUUUAUCAAAAACACAGGUCUCUGCUAAACCGUAAGGUGAUGUAUAGGGGCUGACGCCUGCCCGGUGCUGGAAGGUUAAGAGGAGUGGUUAGCUUCUGCGAAGCUACGAAUCGAAGCCCCAGUAAACGGCGGCCGUAACUAUAACGGUCCUAAGGUAGCGAAAUUCCUUGUCGGGUAAGUUCCGACCCGCACGAAAGGCGUAACGAUUUGGGCACUGUCUCAACGAGAGACUCGGUGAAAUCAUAGUACCUGUGAAGAUGCAGGUUACCCGCGACAGGACGGAAAGACCCCGUGGAGCUUUACUGUAGCCUGAUAUUGAAAUUCGGCACAGCUUGUACAGGAUAGGUAGGAGCCUUUGAAACGUGAGCGCUAGCUUACGUGGAGGCGCUGGUGGG
rnacentral:rRNA from 1 species